GUGUUUGAAUUUCUUCAGACCGAUGAGCAAAUCAGACAAUUUUGUUUUUAUGGCAUUCAGAUGUGCGUGAAACAAUAUUGCUAUAUCUGCAAACACAACGAUAGUAAUUCCACAACGUCUUGCAACAACUGCUGCCACGUAAUAGACGCAUUUACUCUAUUGGUCGCAUUACUAACAGAACGCAAGAGUGAUUUCACUGCCAGCUUGAAUCUUUAUCAAAAUAUCUUUGAUACGCAAUGUUGCGCUUUGCUACAGCAUAAAAAGUUAGGCAGUGGAAUUAACCAAUGGCCAUACCAACGCAUCCUCGGCAACCUCUUUUCGCUUAUCAGCAACAAUCACACAUCAAAGCUUGUCAAAAGAGAGAUUGCAUUGGUGUUGUACGACACACUGCGUACUUUGCGACCGUCACAAGUUUCGAUUUUCACGUCAGCGUGGGUUAAAAAGGUAUCAAAUGAAAGUUUAAUGAAAAGUUUGCUCAUCACUCGCGCGGAUUUGGUAAUUAACUGAAUAACUUUCUGUACGUAUUGGGUAAAAUAAGUUUUUCUUUCCUAUAGUAUUGGAGUUAUUACGCUCAGCUGUUGAUUGAUGCAUUCGAAUUCCUGGAAAAAACAUUCGUUUGGAACAAGGACAUCCCUAAAUUAGUCGGCCAUUUCUUUCUGGAGAUAAUGAAAGUGUUGAGGUUGCUGAAUGAAUCGUACCCUGAAUUCUUUCAAAAGCUCAACAGCAAUGAUUACGGCAUUCCAUCUAACGGUGUUCAGAUGAUUUACAUGGUCGUGUCUCGAGG